CGUAUAUAAUGAAUUUAUGGAUGGACAGACAGAGAUUGUGCUGUGUCAUGUUCUGAUUUG
rnacentral:snoRNA from 1 species